rnacentral:tRNA from 1 species
GCCGGGGUACCCUAGUCCGGUAUGGGGCGGGCCUGGAGAGCCCGUGGCCCUUUUGGGCCGCGUGGGUUCAAAUCCCACCCCCGGCGCCA